rnacentral:rRNA from 1 species
CACGUAGGGUGCGGGCGUUGUCCGGAAUUAUUGGGCGUAAAGAGCUCGUAGGCGGUGUGUCGCGUCGGCCGUGAAAACCUGCAGCUUAACUGUGGGCGUGCGGUCGAUACGGGCAUCACUGGAGUUCGGCAGGGGAGACUGGAAUUCCUGGUGUAGCGGUGAAAUGCGCAGAUAUCAGGAGGAACACCGGUGGCGAAGGCGGGUCUCUGGGCCGAUACUGACGCUGAGGAGCGAAAGCGUGGGGAGCAAACAGG